AAGCUAGACGUCUUAAAGGGGAACCUUGGCAUAGACUCUGAGGGCUUUGCCGAUGAGGAGAAACCUGAUGCAAUCCCCAAAAGGGCUUUGGAUAAGACACCCUUGGGUCACAUCAUGGAGGAACCCAAGCCAUCAACCUUCGGGGAUCUCCCCACAUCUCUGCUCCCUCUGAGAGACCUGUCCCCCCACAGAAGGAUUCACUUGGGGGGCAAGGACAACAUAUGGCCAGCAGAGAGGCACCACCAUCCCUGUCAGAUCCCCAAGAGUGACAAUGCUACUGGGCCCAGGCCGAUCUGCAGUAAUGGAAAAGAAGCACCCAACUGGGAGCAUAGCAUCUCCCUCAGGAGAGACCGACUGGCCUGAUCUCCACUUGGCCUAGCAGCCUUCCCUGAGUUGGGCCUGUGCCAAAGUAAAAGUGCCCAGGAGAAGGAGUGGGAAUCGGAAAAGAAUGAAGGCAAAGCAAGCAAUGGAGGAUCCUGAUAGCUGUGUCUCCUGAUCCAUACUACAGUCCUGUAAGUGUUGAAGAACCUCUUGAAUUUGUCUUCCCAGAAGAUGGAGAGGUAAGUCUGACUCCUACCACCUCCAGAGGCCAGACUGUCAGAGAGCUACAUAGGAAAAGACAGCAGUCCACAGAUAUCAAAGCAAAGAAGAGCUUCCCUUUCAACAUCUAACAAAGGAUCCCGUCCUACUUCUGAUGCACUGUUAUCAACGCGAGUGCUGAGGGUUGCCUCGGCCGGCUAAAUAUGCAUUGACACAAUGACAAAUCUCUCCAGUGGCUGAGGGGAAUGGUGGGCCCUAGAGAAGGCAGGAAGAGGCUGAGGAGAGCAACCCCACAGCAGAUGCCCAUUUCCUUUCUGGCUAGGUUUGCAAAAGCCUCGUGUACACUCAAGGUCAUAAGGCUUUGGCAAAGAGGGGGCAUAGUUUCCCGGGAAACGACUUCACCCCAGAAGUGGAAUCCCACACCUUAGUUUACAGAGCUCCCUUCAAACUAGUUACUGAAGUUGCAGCCCAGUUUUGCACCCGUUCCAUCUCUUGAUUCCGAGUCUGGGUGCCCGACCUCCCCUCCUUCCCCUGGCUCUGCAUCCAGUGUGGGGUGCAAAUGUCACAUUCAGUCCUGGCAGGGUGCAAGAAACAAGGCUGGGCCCCACAGUGAACCAGUCUGUAGGGCCAAGCGAGGGGGCAGAGGGUGCGCUAGUGAAAGCGAUCCCCGCCCUCUCUUGGCCUUCUGCAGGGACACCUCGGCAUCCACUCACCCCCCUCAGGUGACAGUGUGGGAUUAGCCGGUCGCCAUUUGGGGCCGAGUAGGAAUUUUCCCCAUCCACCCGGAUUGGCUUGGAGGUGGCUGGUUUUUCACCUACUCUGCACUGUUGCACUGGAAGGGAUUUCUGAUCUGGCGGAUGUUAGGAGUGGUGCCGCUAAAUAGUGUAGCCCCUUGGUCACCAUGGCAGGUCCGGGGGGGGGGGAUGCAGUGCCCCACCCCAUUGGUGGCAGGUGCGAUUUCCCCCAGCUGCACGGCAGUUCUCUGCUAAAAUGAGUCAAUAAAGUGAUGGCCGUAGUUUCAACCCA